rnacentral:rRNA from 1 species
ACCGAGGACAAAUUCCUUUGUGAGUGUAGGAGUGACAUUGGGCAAGACCCCAAGACCGGCGCCGAACAAAAGGCAUCAACCUUUUGGACUCGUGUCCAUCGCAAGUUCCAUAAAUGCAAGAAGUUUCCGCCGUACCAAAUGCAAAGCACGCAUGGGUGGGUGUCCAUUUGGAAGCGAUGGAAAGUGAUCCAACAAGAGUGCAACAAGUUUUGUGCCACUCUUGUGAGCAUCAAGGCACGCGUCGUGGGCGGCAUCUCCAUGCAAGACAUGGUAUGCAUGCAAGCACCCCUCUUUGUGUCAUUUCAUUUAUGCUUGAAUGUACAUUUUCAUAUCCAUUUGCCAAUAUGCUUGCAUGCCAUUCAUUUGUAG